rnacentral:rRNA from 1 species
GACGAACGCUGGCGGCGUGCUUAACACAUGCAAGUCGAACGGUAAGGCCCUUCGGGGUACACGAGUGGCGAACGGGUGAGUAACACGUGGGUGAUCUGACCUGCACGUCGGGAUAAGCCUGGGAAACUGGGUCUAAUACCGGAUAGGACCCUGGGAUGCAUGUCCUGGGGUGGAAAGCUUGUGAGGUGUGGGAUGGGCCCGCGGCCUAUCAGCUUGUUGGGGGGGUGAUGGCCUACCAAGGCGACGACGGGUAGCCGGCCUGAGAGGGUGACCGGCCACACUGGGACUGAGAUACGGCCCAGACUCCUACGGGAGGCAGCAGUGGGGAAUAUUGCACAAUGGGCGCAAGCCUGAUGCAGCGACGCCGCGUGAGGGAUGACGGCCUUCGGGUUGUAAACCUCUUUCAGCACCGACGAAGCGCAAGUGACGGUAGGUGCAGAAGAAGGACCGGCCAACUACGUGCCAGCCGCCGCGGUAA